rnacentral:rRNA from 1 species
CCCUUAGAUGUUCUGGGCUGCACACGUGCUACACUGGCAGGUUCAGCGAGCUUCAUGCCCUGAUCUGAAAGGAAUGGGAAAUCUUUUCAAAACCUGCCGUGCUUGGGAUAGAUGUUUGCAAUUAUUCAUCUUCAACGAGGAUUGCCUUGUAAGCGCACGUCAUCAGCGUGCAUUGAAUAUGACCCUGUAUUCUGUACACACCGCCCGUCGCUCCUACCGAUUGAAGUUUUCGGUGAGUUGACAGGAGGAUUUUUUUGAAACUGGUUCGCCAGUGGAUUUUAGAUCCAAAUGCCAACGAAUCGAUGGCUUUAGAGGAAGGAGAAGUCGUAACA